rnacentral:rRNA from 1 species
CGGUCUCCGUGUCGCAGCUAACGCAUUAAGUUCCCCGCCUGGGGAGUACGGCCGCAAGGCUAAAACUCAAAGGAAUUGACGGGGGCCCGCACAAGCGGCGGAGCAUGCGGAUUAAUUCGAUGCAACGCGAAGAACCUUACCAAGGCUUGACAUAUACCGGAAACUUCCAGAAAUGGUUGCCCCGCAAGGUCGGUAUACAGGUGGUGCAUGGUUGUCGUCAGCUCGUGUCGUGAGAUGUUGGGUUAAGUCCCGCAACGAGCGCAACCCUCGUUCUAUGUUGCCAGCACGUCAUGGUGGGAACUCAUAGGAGACUGCCGGGGUCAACUCGGAGGAAGGUGGGGAUGACGUCAAAUCAUCAUGCCCCUUAUGUCUUGGGCUUCACGCAUGCUACAAUGGCCGGUACAAAGGGCUGCGAUACCGUAAGGUGGAGCGAAUCCCAAAAAGCCGGUCUCAGUUCGGAUUGAGGUCUGCAACUCGACCUCAUGAAGUCGGAGUCGCUAGUAAUCGCAGAUCAGCAACGCUGCGGUGAAUACGUUCCCGGGCCUUGUACACACCGCCCGUCAAGUCAUGAAAGUCGGUAACACCCGAAGCCAGUGGCCUAACCGCAAGGAGGGAGCUGUCGAAGGUGGGAUCGGUGAUUAGGACUAAGUCG